AACGAACGCUGGCGGCAUGCCUAACACAUGCAAGUCGAACGAGACCUUCGGGUCUAGUGGCGCACGGGUGCGUAACGCGUGGGAACCUGCCCUUAGGUUCGGAAUAACUCCCCGAAAGGGGUGCUAAUACCGGUUAAUGUCUUCGGCCCAAAGAUUUAUCGCCUUUGGAUGGGCCUGCGUUGGAUUAGCUAGUUGUUAGGGUAAAAGCCUACCAAGGCUCCGAUCAAUAGCUGGGCUGGGAGGAUGAUCAGCCACCCUAGGACUGCGACACGGCCCAGACUCCUACGGGAGGCAGCAGUGGGGAAUAUUGGACAAUGGGCGAAAGCCUGAUACAGCAGUGCCGCGUGAGUGAUGCAGGCCUUAGGAUUGUAAAGCGCUUUUAACCGGGAUGAUAAUGACAGUACCGGGAGAAUAAGCACCGGCUAACUCCGUG
rnacentral:rRNA from 1 species